UGCUUAAUGGCCACUCCUUCUCAUGAACUA
rnacentral:piRNA from 1 species